UAAGGAAUAUUGGGCAAUGGUCGGAAGACUGACCCAGCCAUGCCGCGUGCAGGAAGACGGCCCUAUGGGUUGUAAACUGCUUUUGUUGGGGAAUAAACCUAUCUACGUGUAGAUAGCUGAAGGUACCUGGCGAAUAAGCAUCGGCUAACUCCGUGCCAGCAGCCGCGGUAAUACGGAGGAUGCAAGCGUUAUCCGGAUUCACUGGGUUUAAAGGGUGCGCAGGCGGGAUAAUAAGUCAGAGGUGAAAUCCUACGGCUCAACUGUAGAACUGCCUUUGGUACUGUUGUUCUUGAGUAAAGUUGGAGUGGGCGGAAUGUGUUGUGUAGCGGUGAAAUGCUUAGAUAUAACACAGAACACCGAUCGCGAAGGCAGCUCACUAAGCUUUAACUGACGCUCAUGCACGAAAGCGUGGGGAUCAAACA
rnacentral:rRNA from 1 species